rnacentral:rRNA from 1 species
CCUACGGGCGGCUGCAGUCGAGAAUCUUCCGCAAUGGGCGCAAGCCUGACGGAGCAAUGCCGCGUGAAGGAUGAAGGUCUUCGGAUUGUAAACUUCUGUCACUGGGGACGAAUAAAUGACGGUACCCGGAGAGGAAGUCACGGCUAACUACGUGCCAGCAGCCGCGGUAAUACGUAGGUGACUAGCGUUGUUCGGAUUUAUUGGGCGUAAAGGGUCCGCAGGGGGCCGGCUAAGUCUGAUGUGAAAUACCAAGGCUCAACCUUGGAACUGCAUUGGAAACUGGUUGGCUAGAGUAUCGGAGAGGAGAUUGGAAUUCCUGGUGUAGCGGUGGAAUGCGUAGAUAUCAGGAGGAACACCAAAGGCGAAGGCAGAUCUCUGGACGAUUACUGACCCUCAGGGACGAAAGUAUGGGGAUCAAACAGGAUUAGAUACCCCUGUAGUC